AUACGGAGGGGGCUAGCGUUGUUCGGAAUUACUGGGCGUAAAGCGCACGUAGGCGGCUUUGUAAGUCAGAGGUGAAAGCCUGGAGCUCAACUCCAGAACUGCCUUUGAGACUGCAUCGCUUGAAUCCAGGAGAGGUCAGUGGAAUUCCGAGUGUAGAGGUGAAAUUCGUAGAUAUUCGGAAGAACACCAGUGGCGAAGGCGGCUGACUGGACUGGUAUUGACGCUGAGGUGCAAAAGCGUGGGGAGCAAACAGGAUUAGAAACCCUAGUAGUCC
rnacentral:rRNA from 1 species